UUGGAUGUUUGUAAGUUUCCAAAACAUUGGUAUUUUAACUAUAGCUGCAUACAGGAAGUAGAAUUAAUGCAAUUCGAAAACAGGUGUAAUGCUGGCUCCGGUCAGUAUUUCUGUUGGAAAUUUGAAAGGGCGUACAGACAUUGAACUUUUACAAAAAAUCUAAUCCUUUGACCCCCAAUUUUCUCCAUUGCUGUUUAGUACUUGGUAAGUUACCAAUGUAAAAACAUGGUUUCCAGGCACCUUGCUUCUGCAGGAAAGUGGCAGUUUGUUGUUGAAACUGGCUUAAAAAGGCUCGGAAACACACAGAAUUCUCAUGUUUUGAUUUGAAAUCAUCAAUACUAAAACAUUUUGCCCCAACUCAUUUGAUUUGAAUGUUACUGAUUUUUCAGAAGGCACAGCCUCAACCAUUCUGGAAAUGUGCUUGGUUUAUUUUCAGAUUUGCGAGGUGACCAGUUUCCAGACAUUGGUUCGCUCCUGCUUGUGUACGAGAUUGGCCGAGACUAAAAAAACUGUAGUGUGCCACCUUAAGGUUUUAGUCAUUGGCUUGUAAGGCAAGAUAGUCCCUGGAGAAGAACUAAAGUACGUCAACAGCCUUGUCAGCGGAAAGACACUCCGUUGCAGUUACUGAAGAUUUGCGAGGUGACCAGUUUCCAGACAUUGGUUCGCUCCUGCUUGUGUACGAGAUUGGCCGAGACUAAAAAAACUGUAGUGUGCCACCUUAGUGUAAAAUUCA